CAGUUAUGGUAUCUUAUUGAGGUGCCAUAUUAUGAAGGAAGACUUGGCUUCUGCCGAAGCUGCGUUUCAGGCUCUCUCUAAGAUGCAAAUUCCUGAGUGUGAUUUUUGCAAUGACAUGCUCAAUUUUUACGUGAGACUCGGUUUAACUGAGAAAGCAAAAGAUUUCAUUUUCCAGAUAAGGAAAAUUCAAGUCGAAUUUGAUGAGGAGCUUCUCAAGGCAGCGAUGAAG
rnacentral:misc_RNA from 1 species